CAAGAGUGUGAGCAAGAAGAUCAAUAAAAAUUAUCACUAAGCAUCCUCCCUCCCUGGGCUUCGGGUUCCAGAAAACAACCCUUGUCCCCCAGCCCCAACUACCUAUCUGUGAAUAUACAGCAAGUGCCCCCUUGGCCUAAUUAACUAACCUCUCUGAGCCCCUGUUCUUUCUUUCCUCCAAUUAUAAAGGCCAUAAAUGCUCAUUACAGAAAAAUUGAAAACUACAGGAAAAUAGAAGGAAGAAAAGGUCACCUGCCUUAUUUAACACACAUAUUUUCUCUAUAAGGUACAUCGCAGCCUUACUAUCUGAGCGUCAUCACUGUUAACACUUUCGAGUUUUCCUUCUGGCCUUCGUUCCAUGCCUACACUUUUUCACAUAUGUAAGGAAAGACCACCUUCUUCCCAGCAAGAAACAGUAUUGGUCAUCUUGGGAGCUUCUGCUGCUGGUGGCCUAGAGAGCCAGAUGAAGGAGUAGAGAAAUGGCAGCUGACUGCAGGAUGGUACAAGAAGGGGAGGAGAGGAGAGUGUGGGAGCUGAACCAAGAAGGCAGAGUAUCCCCUUGUUCACCUCAUCUGGAAAUGUGCACAUUGGAGAACUCAGUUUUUUACCACUCUGAGCAUGUCUGGGAAUGACCAUGAAGAUUACUUUUGGAG
rnacentral:lncRNA from 1 species